UCCUAAAUUGGCUAGGAUGGGCUUGAACUUACGAUCUGCCUGCCUAGACUUUUUGACAGAAGUGCCCCAUAGCAGUGUGAAGGCUCCUGGGGUCUCCUGUUUCUUUUCUGUCCGUGCACAUCCCCCUAACACUUUGUGAAAUUGCAGGAAACAAGUCGAGUAGGUUGGUUAUAGAUCGCCGGACUCGUGUCAGGGAUUAAUAGAGCCCUUGUCUGAUGCUGCUCUCCAGAAUUACGUCCGGGAUUAAAAGCCAGACACUACACAGGCACACAUUUUGCACUGGCUGGUCGUCCUGAUUAAUGUUUCCGAGGGGAUUUAUUCUGAGAGCUUACGGAACGCGUUCUGGGGUCUAAAGCCCCAUGGUGACGGUCGUGCGCAGGGACUUGACUGUAGGCAGGGACCUGAAGAAUCUGGAUGGGACCGGAAGGAGAGCAGAGCAGGAGAAUUCAGGAGGCCAGAGCGUUCUGAGAACUCUGAGCGUGCGCUGUCUCUCAGCUGUGGAAAGGGAGUUGGGUGGGCGUGGGGACCGUGGUUGGUGGCCUGAAUAAAAAAAAGAAAAGGCAGACCUUUUCCCACCCCCAAGGCAUUCAAAGACAUCCUCACCCCCAGCUGUCUCUUGUCCGGUAGAAUGGCAUUAUGUAAAAGAUCUGGCAUGUCACCCAGUGGCACAUCUGGUAGGUGUAGAUGGCAUUCAUUAGCACGGGGCUUCUACUCUGCGGCAUGCCAAAGCGCUGACAGAGAUGCCCGGUGCCAAUCAUUCAUUCGCUGCCAGUCCCAGAGCGCGGCCGGGCGCGAUGGCUCCCUUCCACCCUGGCACCAGGACUAGAGGAAACAAUGUGUUGAGCUACGAAAAGAUGAAAGCAGAGCCGAGGAUGCGAGGCACCCAGCAGAUGUAUCCCGUGAGGAGACCGUGGAGCAAGAGUCGUGUAGCAAGAAAACAUAUGGGAGCGCGGGAAGGAGGCUUGGGCGGUUCUGCCUGCCUGGGGCUGCACUGAGGGCAGGAUGGGGAACCCCUUUAGGAACCAGAAAGUUGAGGUUGCUGCUCUAAAAGCAUACAAAAACAACCCCCAAUUCCCUAAUGCAAGAUUUCCUUUUCUCUCUCCUUGGUUGUCUCUUGUACUUCUAUCUAGAAACCUUCCUGGCGUUGUGUUGCCUUUGCCAUGGCUUUCUGAUGACCAAGAUAAAAAGAGGCUUCCAGUUUUAAAUUUUGCUUAGUUCUGUUGGCCUUGCAAUGUGUGUGUGUGUGUGUGUGUGUGUGUGUGUGUGUGUGUGUGUGUGCCAGGCCUCCUUGACUGCACUGUAAUAGGUAUUGUUUCAAUUUUUAGCCCGUCAAUAGGAAAAGAGGAACAAAACAAAGAAAUUGUUCAAAAUGCCAAGGAAAAUGAAACAAUCUGAGACAGAGAUCGUCUUAAACUGGGUGUUGAUUAACUAGCUGUUCAGUGUAUUGCUUUUCUUUAGCCACACAUGCUUUAUAAAUAGCUCUUUUUUACCCAUUCAAUAUUUAAUAAAACAAGAACAAAAUUCAGGGUUUUUACAGUAUGUGAGAUUCACUAUAUAUGUUGAAUGAAUCUAACAGCUUUUUAUUACAUGUAUAUUUAUCUAGCAACCUUGAAUAUGUUGGCUCUUGGUCACAAUAUAACUGCUAUAUAUAUAUAUAUAUAUAUAUGUAUAUAUAUAUAUAUAUGUAUGUAUAACAUCUAUAAAAUUCUGCUGUUUUUAAUAUAUGCUGUAAAAUAUUUGGGACUGCUGAUACUAUAAAUUUAUUCAUGAUUAUCUGAAAUUCAAAUUUAACUGGGCAUCCUCUAUAUUUGUUUCUUAUCUAGCAACCUUGAAUAUGUUGGCUCAUAUGAAUUUAUUGGUCAUAAUAUAACCACUAUAAUUCUAGGCAUCACAUUAUUAUUUUAAACGUGAAGGACAGAGUUGAACAGAUGUGGUUAUUUCUUAUGAUUAAUGAAAAAAAUAUUUUUAUUUUUCAUCAACUGGACCUAAUCAUCUGGUUACAGAUACCUAAGGAAACUAUCACGUAUUUAUUAUUUCACUGUUACUACUACUGUUAUUAGUAUUCUGGGGACUGGUCUGCAUCCUGUACCCUUUUUUUUUUUUCGUCUUUUUCCUUUUUAUUUGUACCAGGGAUCGAACUCACGACUGCCUGCUUGCAAGGCAGGUGCUUAUGCCACUGAGCUAAAUCCCCAGCCCAUAAUCCUGUACCCUUUUUAUACUGAAACGGGAUCUCCCUGAUUCAAGGCUGGAACUAGGCUUCUGCCUGCUUCAGCCUCCCAGAGAGCUGAGAUUACUGAUUUAGACCAUCACACCCAAUCAGUGAAAAACCUCUUUUAGAGAAUAAAAGGAGCUGGAUGUGAUUCACAUCAGCUGUAGGACUUGGCUGUUUACAAAAGGGUGUCUGUCAAAGGACUGAAGGGCAGAGGGAAGUUCUUAUUAGCACCAAACAAUGAUAGAUUAUCAAAUAAAAGUCAUAAGCAAAAGUUAUUGCAAAAGAUUUUAAAUACAAAUCUUCUGUUUUAACUGCAGUCAUUAAAGGGAGAGUGUACUCACAUUUAGAAGUUUCUUUGUGAAUUUCACCAAAGUGUUUUAAAACACGGACUUGGGUUUAAUAAAUAUAUUCAUAGGACAGCUGUCAUAAAAUCUGACUUAUGUUUAAGUAAACUUAGUCUUUGCAAGAGCAAUAUGAAUAGAACUUCUUAAUACAUUUAAGUGAAAUAAAUAAAAUGACUCAAAUUUUGA